rnacentral:rRNA from 1 species
UACGAAGGGGGCUAGCGUUGCUCGUAAUUCCUGGGCGUAAAGCGCACGUAGGCGGUCUUUUAAGUCGGGGGUGAAAUCCUGGAGCUCAACUCCAGAACUGCCUUCGAUACUGGAAGACUUGAGUCCGGGAGAGGUGAGUGGAACUGCGAGUGUAGAGGUGAAAUUCGUAGAUAUUCGCAAGAACACCAGUGGCGAAGGCGGCUCACUGGCCCGGUACUGACGCUGAGGUGCGAAAGCGUGGGGAGCAAACAGG